rnacentral:rRNA from 1 species
AGGAAAAGAAACCAACAGGGAUUGCCUUAGUAGCGGCGAGUGAAGCGGCAAAAGCUCAAAUUUGAAAUCUGGCUCUUUCAGAGUCCGAGUUGUAAUUUGAAGAAGGUAUCUUUGGGUCUGGCUCUUGUCUAUGUUUCUUGGAACAGAACGUCACAGAGGGUGAGAAUCCCGUGCGAUGAGAUGAUCCAGGCCUAUGUAAAGUUCCUUCGAAGAGUCGAGUUGUUUGGGAAUGCAGCUCUAAGUGGGUGGUAAAUUCCAUCUAAAGCUAAAUAUUGGCGAGAGACCGAUAGCGAACAAGUACAGUGAUGGAAAGAUGAAAAGAACUUUGAAAAGAGAGUGAAAAAGUACGUGAAAUUGUUGAAAGGGAAGGGCUUGAGAUCAGACUUGGUAUUUUGUAUGUUACUUCUUCGGGGGUGGCCUCUACAGUUUAUCGGGCCAGCAUCAGUUUGGGCGGUAGGAGAAUUGCGUUGGAAUGUGGCACGGCUUCGGUUGUGUGUUAUAGCCUUCGUCGAUACUGCCAGCCUAGACUGAGGACUGCGGUUUAUACCUAGGAUGUUGGCAUAAUGAUCUUAAGUCGCCCGU